AACGCGAAGAACCUUACCAGGUCUUGACAUCCUUUGACCAUUCUGGAGACAGAACUUUCCCUUCGGGGACAAAGUGACAGGUGGUGCAUGGUUGUCGUCAGCUCGUGUCGUGAGAUGUUGGGUUAAGUCCCGCAACGAGCGCAACCCUUGAUUUUAGUUGCCAGCAUUCAGUUGGGCACUCUAAAGUGACUGCCGGUGUAAGCCGGAGGAAGGUGGGGAUGACGUCAAAUCAUCAUGCCCCUUAUGACCUGGGCUACACACGUGCUACAAUGGAUAAUACAAAGGGUCGCGAAGCCGCGAGGUGGAGCCAAUCCCAUAAAAUUAUUCUCAGUUCGGAUUGCAGGCUGCAACUCGCCUGCAUGAAGCCGGAAUCGCUAGUAAUCGUAGAUCAGCAUGCUACGGUGAAUACGUUCCCGGGCCUUGUA
rnacentral:rRNA from 1 species